rnacentral:rRNA from 1 species
AUUGAACGCUGGCGGCAGGCCUAACACAUGCAAGUCGAGCGGAUGAAGGGAGCUUGCUCCUGGAUUCAGCGGCGGACGGGUGAGUAAUGCCUAGGAAUCUGCCUGGUAGUGGGGGAUAACGUCCGGAAACGGGCGCUAAUACCGCAUACGUCCUGAGGGAGAAAGUGGGGGAUCUUCGGACCUCACGCUAUCAGAUGAGCCUAGGUCGGAUUAGCUAGUUGGUGGGGUAAAGGCCUACCAAGGCGACGAUCCGUAACUGGUCUGAGAGGAUGAUCAGUCACACUGGAACUGGGACACGGUCCAGACUCCUACGGGAGGCAGCAGUGGGGAAUAUUGGACAAUGGGCGAAAGCCUGAUCCAGCCAUGCCGCGUGUGUGAAGAAGGUCUUCGGAUUGUAAAGCACUUUAAGUUGGGAGGAAGGGCAGUAAGUUAAUACCUUGCUGUUUUGACGUUACCAACAGAACAAGCACCGGCUAACUUCGUG